CUCCAGAUGUUGCUGAAAUACAACUCCCAUGAUUCCCUGGCUAUCUGUUUCAUUGAAAGAAUCAUGGGAGUUGUAGUUCAGCAACAUCUGGGG
rnacentral:miRNA from 1 species